rnacentral:rRNA from 1 species
GAUGAACGCUAGCUACAGGCUUAACACAUGCAAGUCGAGGGGAAACGACAUCGAAAGCUUGCUUUUGAUGGGCGUCGACCGGCGCACGGGUGAGUAACGCGUAUCCAACCUGCCCACCACUUGGGGAUAACCUUGCGAAAGUAAGACUAAUACCCAAUGAUAUCCCACGAAGACAUCUGAAUGGGAUUAAAGAUUUAUCGGUGAUGGAUGGGGAUGCGUCUGAUUAGCUUGUUGGCGGGGUAACGGCCCACCAAGGCAACGAUCAGUAGGGGUUCUGAGAGGAAGGUCCCCCACAUUGGAACUGAGACACGGUCCAAACUCCUACGGGAGGCAGCAGUGAGGAAUAUUGGUCAAUGGGCGAGAGCCUGAACCAGCCAAGUAGCGUGCAGGAAGACGGCCCUAUGGGCUGUAAACUGCUUUUAUAAGGGAAUAAAGUGGGUCACGUGUGACUUUUUGCAUGUACCUUAUGAAUAAGGACCGGCUAAUUCCGUG